rnacentral:rRNA from 1 species
GAAAACUCUUCCCUUAAGCAACUGCGAUAGGGGAACAUCGAGUGAUCCUCAUAUUGGGGGUCUGUCCCACCGUCUAAAAAACGGUGGUUAGCAAGGGCCGGGCAAGACCGGUGCCAGCCGCCGCGGUAAUACCGGCGGCUCGAGUGGUGGCCGAUAUUAUUGAGUCUAAAGGGUCCGUAGCCGGCUUUGCAAGUCUCUCGGGAAAUCCAGCGGCUUAACCGUUGGUCGUCCGGGGGGUACUACAUUGCUUGGGACUGGGAGAGGUAGGAGGUACUCAGGGGGUAGGAGUGAAAUCCUGUAAUCCUCUGGGGACCACCGGUGGCGAAGGCGUCCUACCAGAACAGGUCCGACGGUGAGGGACGAAAGCUAGGGGCACGAACCGGAUUAGAUACCCGGGUAGUCCUAGCCGUAAACGAUGCUCGCUAGGUGUCACAACAGUCGUGAACUGUUGUGGUGCCGUAGGGAAGCCGUGAAGCGAGCCACUUGGGAAGUACGACCGCAAGGUUGAAACUUAAAGGAAUUGGCGGGGGAGCAC